UCCCUGGUGGCUGAGUAGUAAAGAACUUGCCUGCAAUGCAGGAGACCAGGUUAUAUCCCUGGUUUGGGAA
rnacentral:tRNA from 1 species